CACGAACGCUGGCGGCAGGCUUAACACAUGCAAGUCGAGCGCCCCGCAAGGGGAGCGGCAGACGGGUGAGUAACGCGUGGGAAUCUACCCAUCUCUACGGAAUAACGCAUAGAAACGUGUGCUAAUACCGUAUACGUCCUUCGGGAGAAAGAUUUAUCGGAGAUGGAUGAGCCCGCGUUGGAUUAGCUAGUUGGUGGGGUAAAGGCCUACCAAGGCGACGAUCCAUAGCUGGUCUGAGAGGAUGAUCAGCCACACUGGGACUGAGACACGGCCCAGACUCCUACGGGAGGCAGCAGUGGGGAAUAGUGGACAAUGGGCGCAAGCCUGAUCCAGCCAUGCCGCGUGAGUGAUGAAGGCCCUAGGGUUGUAAAGCUCUUUCACCGGUGAAGAUAAUGACGGUAACCGGAGAAGAAGCCCCGGCUAACUUCGUGCCAGCCGCCGCCGUAAUAC
rnacentral:rRNA from 1 species